rnacentral:tRNA from 1 species
AUCAGUGUAGUUUAAAAAAAACAUCUUAUUUUCAAUAAGAGGCUAAGGAUACCUUCACAGAUA